UACGUAGGCAGCAAGCGUUGUUCGGAAUUACUGGGCGUAAAGAGUGUGUAGGCGGUGCUCCAAGUCUGGUGUGAAAUCUCCCGGCUUAACUGGGAGGGUGCAUUAGAAACUGGAAUGCUAGAGGAUGGGAGAGGUAAGCGGAAUUCCUGGUGUAGCGGUGAAAUGCGCAGAUAUCAGGAGGAACACCGGUGGCGAAGGCGGUGGGCUGGGCCGGCACUGACGCUGAGGAGCGAAAGCGUGGGGAGCGAACAGG
rnacentral:rRNA from 1 species